GGGGAAUUUUGGACAAUGGGCGCAAGCCUGAUCCAGCCAUGCCGCGUGCAGGAUGAAGGCCCUCGGGUUGUAAACUGCUUUUGUACGGAACGAAAAGCCUCUUUCUAAUAAAGCGGGGUGAUGACGGUACCGUAAGAAUAAGCACCGGCUAACUACGUGCCAGCAGCCGCGGUAAUACGUAGGGUGCAAGCGUUAUCCGGAUUUCUUGGGUUUACAGGGUCCGUAGGCGGACUUAUAAGUCAGUGGUGAAAGCCUGUCGCUUAACGAUAGAACUGCCAAUGGUACUGUAAGUCUUGAGUAUAUUUGAGGGAGCUAGAAUAAGUAGUGUAGCGAUGAAAGGCAUAGAUAUUACUUAGAACACCAAUUGCGAAGGCAGGUUACCAAGAUAUAACUGACGCUGAGGGACGAAAGCGUGGGGAGCGAACA
rnacentral:rRNA from 1 species